CUCCUCUCAGGGUCGUACCUGGAGAGUGUCCCGUACUCUACCAAUCUUGACUAUAGGAGGAAGAGUCAAGCAGAGGCAUAUCCAUUCCAUUCCUAGCUUGGACAGUGGCUAGCGAGUGGAAGGCCAUCUGCUACAAGU
rfam:Ornithorhynchus anatinus chromosome 3, whole genome shotgun sequence.